rnacentral:tRNA from 1 species
UUUCUUGUAGUUUAAUAAAAUAUUAAGUUGUGGUCUUAAAGAUGAAAUAAUCUCUUCUUGAUAGC